rnacentral:rRNA from 1 species
UACGGAGGGUGCAAGCGUUAUCCGGAUUCACUGGGUUUAAAGGGUGCGUAGGCGGAUAGGUAAGUCCGUGGUGAAAUCCUGCAGCUUAACUGCAGAACUGCCAUGGAUACUAUUUAUCUUGAAUAUCGUGGAGGUUAGCGGAAUAUGUCAUGUAGCGGUGAAAUGCUUAGAUAUGACAUAGAACACCCAUUGCGAAGGCAGCUAACUACGCGAUAAUUGACGCUGAUGCACGAAAGCGUGGGGAUCAAACAGG